ACGGAGGAUGCGAGCGUUAUCCGGAUUUAUUGGGUUUAAAGGGCGCGUAGGCGGAUUAAUAAGUCAGUGGUGAAAACCUGGAGCUUAACUGUAGAACUGCCAUUGAUACUGUUAUUCUUGAGUACGGUCGAGGUAGGCAGAAUGUGUAAUGUAGCGGUGAAAUUCGUAGAUAUUGCGCGGAACACCAGUUGCGAAGGCAGCUUACUGGACAAUUACUGACGCUGAUGCGCGAAAGCGUGGGGAGCAAACAG
rnacentral:rRNA from 1 species